GAUGAACGCUGGCGGCGUGCCUAAUACAUGCAAGUCGAGCGAACAGACGAGGAGCUUGCUCCUCUGACGUUAGCGGCGGACGGAUGAGUAACACGUGGAUAACCUACCUAUAAGACUGGGAUAACUUCGGGAAACCGGAGCUAAUACCGGAUAAUAUAUUGAACCGCAUGGUUCAAUAGUGAAAGACGGUUUUGCUGUCACUUAUAGAUGGAUCCGCGCCGCAUUAGCUAGUUGGUAAGGUAACGGCUUACCAAGGCAACGAUGCGUAGCCGACCUGAGAGGGUGAUCGGCCACACUGGAACUGAGACACGGUCCAGACUCCUACGGGAGGCAGCAGUAGGGAAUCUUCCGCAAUGGGCGAAAGCCUGACGGAGCAACGCCGCGUGAGUGAUGAAGGUCUUCGGAUCGUAAAACUCUGUUAUUAGGGAAGAACAAAUGUGUAAGUAACUAUGCACGUCUUGACGGUACCUAAGCAGAAAGCCACGGCUAACUACGU
rnacentral:rRNA from 1 species